AGAAAUUGUGUAAGGUGAUGGAAAUGGUGAUAGGUGUGUAAGAAGUACUUCUCUUACACACACACCACUUGCAUGACUUUAAGUCACAUACCACUUGCAUGAAUUUAUGUCACAAAUUCCACUUGCAAGGCUUUAUGAAAUUGUUGAAAUUUUUUCCAAAUUUUUGUGGACUUAUCUCCACUCCCUUACCCUCUCUAAAAACCGGCCCUCCCUCAAUGGGAGUACUUUUGGGUCUUUUAUGCAAUUACAUAAAGUUUUGAUACUUUUGUGUAUUUGCACUUUGGCCCAAAGGUUUACGUUUUUACGUUUAGGUCCAAAAACGCUAAAGGACAAAUUGUUUUGCUCCUUUAAUGAAGUUUUUGCAUUGAUUAAAUUUUGGGUUCUAAUGUAAUUACAUGAAGUAGUGGACUUUUGUGUCUUUACAAAAUGACCCCAAAAGUUUUGCAAUAUAGCCCAAAUGUUGAGGUUAAUUGCUUUAUGGCCCAAAAGUUGUGGUUAUUGUAUAUUGGCCCAAAUUAGGUAGAGAACAAAAUUGUUU
rnacentral:lncRNA from 1 species